UAGGGGAGACCGGGUACAAAAGUAACGGCGGGUCGAAAGUAACAAAUCUUCUGUAGGUAUAUCCAACCGUCAAACACCGCGUCGAUGUCGUAAGUUCACAGCGGGGCGGUACCCCCCUCGCUUGCGUUCAGUUGGCACCCGCGCCUCGCGCUGUUAGGUUGUGUGAGAAGACGUUUUGUGAUUUCACAAACCAAACGAUGCCGCGACAGCGCAUCAGAACUACCACAAAUGAACAGUGAAAUUUUAUCUCAUGACGUAUGUAGCUUUGAUGCAACGACCACCACCCAAGUUGAUCCAGAUACCGCAGUAGAUAAUCUUCCAGCGUCGAGUGACCAAACUGUCGAGUAUACAGUUAGUAAUGAUUUGUCAAAUCUAUUAUCAUUUAAUCAAGGAUCCCAUUCGCCUACACCAGGACCUAGCGGGUUACAGCAAGCAAAGGCUUCUCAGCCAUUUGAUUUAACACCUAAAGAUCUGAGACCCUUACCACAAGCAGGCCCGAGGACUGUAUCAAGUAGAGGACGUAAAAAACGUAAGACAGCAAUAUUGACAGACACGCCUGAAAAAACGCAAUUGAGGAAGAAUACCUAGAAAGAAAUAAAGCUAAGAGAUCGGUUUUACCACCUGAUACUGGAAAUGGCAAGAAAAAGUUGAUAUCUACGAAAGGAAAGAGAAAAGGAAAAAGAACAAAGAAGGCAGCUGAAGAAAAGGAAAACAUAUCAGAUGACGAUGAUUGCUAUUGCCUCGUUUGUUUAGAAACCUUUGUCAAUAGCCGGCCAAAUGAACAGUGGGUUCAAUGCCUCUCGUGCAAAAUGUGGUCACAUGCCGAAUGUGUCCAUGAUGAUGCCAAUUAUAUAUGUCACAAUUGUGAGUCUGAUUAAAAUAAGGCUGAUUAUAAAAAUGAUUGCUUAAAGUUUAAAAAAUACUGAUCUCAUUACUAGAAGAAGAAAUUAUAAGUUGUUUUGUUUUCUUAAAAUAUUUUUUUUAAGUUUUUGAGCAUUUUAAAUGCAAGUUCUUUGAAUACAAAGUCCUAAAAUAAAUAAUAUGUUAAUUUAA